rnacentral:lncRNA from 1 species
CUCCACUUCCCCGCUUAAAACCCUUCCAAGGCUCCCAUUUCAUCGCACUGAGAUUAAAAUCCUGGUCGCACCAGCUCCUGCGCGGUCUCUCCCCGCCGGUCUCUCCCUGACCUCCUCGACUUCCACUCCGUUCCUUGCUCGAUGCAUUGCAGCCACAUCAGCUCCUCCAGGGUGUGAAGUGUGAAAGUAAAGAUUCAUCUCACUGCCAGGUCUUUGCACUUGCUGUACCUGCCACCCGGACGACUCCAUAUCUUUGCAGUGCUGCCUUCUUCUGUCCUGUGGUCUCAGCUCCUAUGUCAUCAGCUCCUGGAAAAGGCCUUCCUGACUUUGCUGCUUAAAGCAACCUGCCCCCUCCAGCCUUCUUUAUCACAUCUUCCUGUUUUAUCACCCACAUUGAUUUCUCUUAGAAAUUAUCUUCGUUCAUUGUUUUCCUGAUGUGUCUUACCUAUCAGUCUUUGUACUCUGGAGGGGAAGGCAGGGAUUUGAUCUCAGCAUCUCCAGAGUCUAGAGAGGGCAAAGUGCACACCGAGUGCUCAAUAUCGUCAGUGUUUGCUCAAUUCAAAUGUAAGACCCCAGAGCCCUUAGCCCCCCUGUGUGGGUGUUGUGUGUGCUUGUGGCUGUCUCCUAUAUGUGGUGGCACUCCUGAGCUCAGCCCCUUUCCCGGUUCUCCCCCUUUCUCUCUCCCCCACCACCCAAAUAAAUUAUCUGAAAGGCAGGAGGAUGAUUUAGUUGGACUUUGAACUGACCUGUGCCCACCUUGAAAUCCCCAAAGUAACCUUGACUUGCCGUGAUCCACCUCCACUCCCACUAAGGGGGGGCCUGAGGCAGAGGAGUUUGGAGUUGGGAGAGAGAAGACCAAGGCCGCAGAGCCUAGCCCAUCUGACAAACAGGAAGUGGGCAGGUAUUCAGAACACACCUGGCUUCAGGUAUGCAGUGCCUGGAGCCAGCUCCCAGCCCAGCUGCCCUCCCCUAAAGCUGGCCAAGACUGAUCUGG